rnacentral:rRNA from 1 species
AUAAACGCUGGCGGCGUGCAUAAAACAUGUAAGUCGGACGAGGGGAGGCCGCAAGGCCGAGCCUAGUGGCGGCCGGCUGAGUAACGCGUAGGUGACUUGCCCGAGAGUGGGGAAUAACGAUUCGAAAGAAUCGCUAAUACCGCAUGUGGUUGUGCGUAUAGACACGUGCAACUAAAGCCGAAAGGCGCUAUCGGAGAGGCCUGCGUCCGAUUAGCUAGUUGGUGGGGUAACGGCCUACCAAGGCGACGAUCGGUAGCUGAUCUGAGAGGAUGAUCAGCCAGACUGGGACUGAGACACGGCCCAGACUCCUACGGGAGGCAGCAGUUAGGAAUUUUGCACAAUGGGGGAAACCCUGAUGCAGCAACGCCGCGUGGAUGAUGAAGGCCUUCGGGUCGUAAAAUCCUUUUCAACGGGAAGAUACGGACGGUACCGUUGGAAUAAGCUUCGGCUAACUACGU